AAUAUUGCACAAUGGAGGGAACGCUGAUGCAGCAACGCCUCGUGAGUGAAGAAUGUAUUCUGUUCGUAAAAAUCUGUCAUUGCGGAAGAAUAAAUGACGGUACCCAAUGACGAAUCCCCUGCUCACUACGUUCCAGAAGCUGCGGUAAUACGUAGGGGGCGAGCGUUGGCCGGAAUUACUGGGCGUAAAGGGUACGUAGGCGGCUAUAUAAGUCAGGUGUGAAAUACCAGUGCUUAACACUGGAAUUGCAUUUGAAACUGUGUAGCUUGAGUGCAGGAGAGGAAAGUGGAAUUCCUAGUGUAGCGGUGAAAUGCGUAGAGAUUAGGAGGAACACCAGUGGCGAAGGCGACUUUCUGAACAUAUACUGACGCUGAGGAACGAAAGCGUGGGGAGCAAACA
rnacentral:rRNA from 1 species